rnacentral:rRNA from 1 species
UAAAGCAAAGAAGAGCGCAGAGUGAAUGCCUUGGCAUUGGGAGCCGAUGAAGGACGUGGUUAACUGCGAUAAGCUGCGGGGAGCUGUAAGCAAGCUUUGAUCCGCAGAUUUCCGAAUGGAGCAAUCCACAUGAAGUAGUUCAUGUAUCCAUACGUGAAUUCAUAGCGUAUGGAGGGGAACCGCCUGAACUGAAACAUCUAAGUAGGGCGAGGAAGAGAAAUCAACCGAGAUUCCGUAAGUAGUGGCGAGCGAACGCGGAAGAGGCCAAACCGAGAGAAGAAAUUCUUUCGGGGUUCGGACUGCAUUUAGUAUUCUUGAUCUUUAGUCGAACAGUCUGGGAAGGCUGACAAGAGAGUGUGAUAGUCACGUAGACGAAAAGGAGAAAGAGCGAGCAGUAUCCAGAGUACUGCGGGGCACGUGAAAUCCCGUGGGAAGAUGGGGGGACCACCCUCCAAGCCUAAAUACUACCCAAUGACCGAUAGCGUAAAGUACUGUGAAGGAACGGUGAAAAGAACCCCGGGAGGGGAGUGAAAAGAACCUGAAACUCUGUGCUUACAAGCACAUAGAGCACGUCAAUGUGUGAUAUGGUACCUUUUGUAGAAUGGUCCGGCGAGUUAUGGUAUGCAGCGUGGUUAAGGACUUCAGGUCUGAAGCCGAAGCGAGAGCGAGUCUGACAAGGGCGAAAAGUUGUAUGCCAUAGACCCGAAACCGGGUGACCUAGCCAUGUCCAGGCUGAAGUGGAGGUAAAACUCCAUGGAGGGCCGAACCGACCUCCGUUGAAAAGGCGGCGGAUGAGAUGUGGCUAGCGGAGAAAUUCCAAUCGAACCCGGAUAUAGCUGGUUCUCCCCGAAAUAGCUUUAGGGCUAGCGUUGUAUUAGAUUACCGGAGGUAAAGCACUGAAUGGGCUAGGGGCUGAGAAGUUACUGAACCCUAUCAAACUAAGAAUGCCGGAUAAUUGAUGUACAGCAGUCAGACUAUGUGAGAUAAGUCUCAUAGUCAAAAGGGAAACAGCCCAGACCCACAGCUAAGGUCCCAAAAUGGAUUUAAGUGGAAAAGGAUGUGGAAUUGCACAGACAACCAGGAUGUUGGCUUAGAAGCAGCCACUCAUUAAAAGAGUGCGUAAUAGCUCACUGGUCGAGUGACUCUGCGCCGAAAAUUCAACGGGGCUAAAAUUCAUACCGAAGCUUGGGCUUGACAGAAAUGUCAGGGGUAGGGGAGCGUCGUAUACGAGGUGAAGUCAUAGCGGAAGCGGUGGUGGAUUGUAUACGAGUGAGAAUGCCGGAAUGAGUAGCGAGAAUUAUGUGAGAAUCAUAAUGGCCGAAAGUCUAAGGUUUCCUGAGGAAGGUUCGUCCUCUCAGGGUUAGCCGGGAGCUAAGGUGAGGCGGAAACGCGUAGCCGAUGCACAUACGGUAGAAAUUCCGUAGCCUCCGAAGAUUUAAGCACAGGGACACUUUUGAAGGGCUGAGCCGGGCGUUGGUUGCCCCGGUCGAAAGGGACACGAUUGAGUGGAAGUCAGUUUGGAAAGAGGCGAGAAAAGCUGUGUGUAUAUGAAAGGAGCCCGUACCGCAAACCGACACAGGUAGACAGGAAGAAGAUUCUAAGGCCAGCGGGAGAAGGGUUGUUAAGGAACUCGGCAAGUUGACCCCGUAACUUCGGGAGAAGGGGUGCUUACGAAGGUAAGCCGCAGAGAAUAGGCCCAAGCGACUGUUUAGCAAAAACACAGCUCUAUGCUAAAUCGAAAGAUGACGUAUAUGGGGUGACACCUGCCCGGUGCUGGAAGGUUAAGAGGAGAUGUGAGAGCAUUGAAUUGAAGCCCCAGUAAACGGCGGCCGUAACUAUAACGGUCCUAAGGUAGCGAAAUUCCUUGUCAGGUAAGUUCUGACCCGC